AUAGCAGUGAGGAAUAAAUUUGCCUUAAUUGUCAUCUUUUAAUGGAAUUAGAAACAAGUUGUGAAUGCAUCAGAGAAAUGAACAAAAGGGAUACCGUGUGAGAAGUUGACAGGGUUUAGGAGUAUGAAAAGAGAGGAAGACAGCUGCUGGACGUGGAAACUUUCAAAUGCAUAAUGAAACAGAGUAUGAGGUCACAGAAUAAAAAUAUUGAACAAAUAGAACAACUUUUCAUGAAAAUAGACUAUGAAUCAGUGGGCAGAAUUCAAUGGGAUGGCUUCUGCACGCAUCUACAGGUAGAGUAUUCAGAACAAGCGGAUGCUUUGGCCCGACAGAAAGAGGUUUCCUUCCAGCUGCCUGCUGUGCUGCAGGGGCUGUCAUAUGGGGGUCCCGUGCUGCACAUUCUCUCUAUGCCUGAU